UACGUAGGGCGCAAGCGUUAUCCGGAAUUAUUGGGCGUAAAGAGCUCGUAGGCGGUUUGUCGCGUCUGCCGUGAAAGUCCGGGGCUCAACUCCGGAUCUGCGGUGGGUACGGGCAGACUAGAGUGAUGUAGGGGAGACUGGAAUUCCUGGUGUAGCGGUGAAAUGCGCAGAUAUCAGGAGGAACACCGAUGGCGAAGGCAGGUCUCUGGGCAUUAACUGACGCUGAGGCACGAAAGCCAGGGGAGCAAACGGG
rnacentral:rRNA from 1 species